GACAGAGGAUGCAAGCGUUAUCCGGAAUGAUUGGGCGUAAAGCGCUCGUAGGCGGUCUGUCGCGUCUGCUGUGAAAACCUAGGGCUUAACUCUGGGCGUGCAGUGGGUACGGGCAGACUAGAGUGCGGUAGGGGAGACUGGAAUUCCUGGUGUAGCGGUGAAGUGACGCAGACUAUCAGGAGGAACACCGGUGGCGAAGGCGGGUCUCUGGGCCGUAACUGACGCUGAGGAGCGAAAGCAUGGGGAGCGAACAGG
rnacentral:rRNA from 1 species